AACGAACGCUGGCGGCAGGCUUAACACAUGCAAGUCGAACGCGUGUAGCAAUACACGAGUGGCGCACGGGUGAGUAACGCGUGGAUAUCUGCCUUUUGGUUCGGAAUAACUCCGGGAAACUGGAGCUAAUACCGGAUGGUUCCUUCGGGAUAAAGAUUUAUCGCCAAAAGAUGAGUCCGCAUACGAUUAGCUAGUUGGUGAGGUAAUGGCUCACCAAGGCGACGAUCGUUAGCUGGUCUGAGAGGACGAUCAGCCACACUGGGACUGAGACACGGCCCAGACUCCUACGGGAGGCAGCAGUGGGGAAUAUUGGACAAUGGGGGCAACCCUGAUCCAGCCAUGCCGCGUGAGUGAUGAAGGCCUUCGGGUUGUAAAGCUCUUUUGGCGGGGACGAUGAUGACGGUACCCGGAGAAGAAGCCCCGGCUAACUUCGUGCCAGCCGCCGCCGUAA
rnacentral:rRNA from 1 species